AAAAUAACGACAGUGCUUGGAAAUGCAACAACUAAAAUUCCUAACCGUCAUGACUCUAAUGGUAAUCGUAGUCACGAUUUCAUCAAGUUCUGCAUUAAAACUAUGCCCGGCCGAAAACUGCAUCCCACCAAAUCAUUGUGAAAUACCCUCAAAAUAUGCGGACAUAAUGUGCUCGAAAAAGGGAACUGCAUGUUGCUCGGUGGUGAAAUCUGAAUUCAGAACUCAUUGCAGACAUCACGGAGGCGUUUGUCAGGAAAAAUGCAGUUUUUCUCUUCAGCGCGAAGUAGUCGACUGCCCUUCGCAAGUAUGUUGUGUUUUGAUAUAAAAUGAAAUAAAUUUGCAUAAUCGAAUUU